UACGAAGGGUGCAAGCGUUACUCGGAAUUACUGGGCGUAAAGCGUGCGUAGGUGGUCUGUUAAGUCUGAUGUGAAAGCCCUGGGCUCAACCUGGGAAUUGCAUUGGAUACUGGCAGGCUAGAGUGCGGUAGAGGAUGGCGGAAUUCCCGGUGUAGCAGUGAAAUGCGUAGAGAUCGGGAGGAACAUCUGUGGCGGAAGGCGGCCAUCUGGACCAGCACUGACACUGAGGCACGGAAAGCGUGGGGAGCAAACAGG
rnacentral:rRNA from 1 species